ensembl:lncRNA
CAUUACUUUGGCUUGUUCUGGCGUUCCGUUUAGUUUAAUGAAUACUUUACAGUUAGAUGUCCAUGUGUGUUGAAUUUUUCCCUGUUUUUUCAUGAAGCGUGCUUUUCUGGCGAUAUCUGCGUUUCGUUUGGUCAGAUGCUCAUUGAUAAAUACGUUUGUUCCUUUCAGUUUCCUUCCUUGUUUUAACAGUGCGGUUUUGUGUUUUCUGUUGACAAACCUCAUGAUCACGGCUCGUUUGUCGCUGUCAUCUCUCCGGGGCAGAGGGUGGCAUGCCUCCACGCUGUUCCAGUCCAUGUCAAUCCCUUUGGACUGUAGGAAGGCAGCCACCUGUUGCUCCACAGAGCGGACAUCCUGCCCACCGGGCUCCCCCCCGUUGUCAACGGUCACCGCCCGGGCGUAUGACCAGGGUUUGAUAUUGAGCCCGGUCACAAUCACGUCAUUGACCCUGGUGUACUGCUCCAGCCCCGCCACUCGAUUCUCAAGGUGCACCAGACGCCGGUCCUUCUCGGCGUUCUGGAUCCGGAGAGCCUUCACUUCCUCCACCAAGUCCAGGAUGGAUUUCUGCUGCUUGCUUACAACUGAAAUCUCCUCGGACAAGAAGUCCAGAGACUUCUUGAUGUCCUCGCCCUCUUCGGCUGUCAGAGCCUUCUUCGGACCCAUGUUGCGUUUACUUCCGCACUGUCGUUCCUCUAUGAGCAGAACGAUAGCGUCCGAUGAGCAGAACGAUAGCGUCCGAGUUAUGUUAAGUCACAUAAUGGGUAUUCAGGAUGCGACAAGUGUGAUCAAGAGGGUGUGUGGAGGAACAAAAUGACGUAUCCUGAAACAGAUGUCAGGCUGAGGACUGACUCGAGUUAUUAUGAUAUGAUUGAUGAGGAACAUCACUUGAAACAGACACUCAGUCCUUUAACAGGGAUUGUAAAGAUGGUUUCUUCAUUCCCAAUAGAUUAUAUGCAUCUCUGUUGUCUUGGGUUGAUGAGAAAACUGUUGAAUAUGUGGUCAAAGGGCAAGCUAGCCACUAGGCUUCCUUCACAAACUGUUAACAGUAUAUCAAGCAAACUGCUGGUGUUACAUUCCCACACCCCUGUUGAAUUCAAUCGUAAGCCAAGAGGUUUGAAUGAGCUUGAUCGUUGGAAAGCUACUGAGCUCCGAUCCUUUAUGUUAUACUGGGGUCCUGUAGUUCUGAAGGGUUGCCUUCCCAGUGAGUUUUAUGACAAUUUUAUGUUAUUUUCAGUGGCAAUGUAUUUGUAUUUGUCACCGGGACUUUCUGACCAAAUGGUUGAAUUUGCACAUAGAUUGAUGAUUUCCUUUGUGAAACACUUUGGACAGCUGUAUGGUAGGGAUGAGAUUGUGUUCACUGUUCAUCAGCAUAUACAUUUAGUUGAUGAAUACAAACAAUUUGGACCUUUAGAUAAUGUUUCGGGAUUCCCUUUUGAGAAUUAUCUUGGCCAAAUUAAGCAUCUUUUACGCAAGCCACACAAACCUCUACAGCAGGUUGUCAAAAGGUUGUCAGAAAUGCCACAUGUUGAGCGUCCAUUAGCAACAGAUGAACCAGUCUUACAGAACAUCCAUACUGAUGGACCACUUCCUCGACAUUUCAAUGUUGCUCUACAGUACAGAAAGGUCUCCAGUAGUCGCUUUACCUUGUCUACAAAGCAGGGGGAUAAUUGUAUUGAGGUGGGAGAUACAAUUGCAGUAGUGCAGAAUAUAGUCCAAGAAGAAGAUGAGGUCUAUGUGAUAUACAGAAAGUUCAGACACCAAGAAUCAUAUUACACUUAUCCCUGUGAGUCCUCAUGCAUAGGUACAUAUAAGGUUCGAGAGUUGUGUGAUGAUAUCGGCGUUGGUAAACUUGGCUGUAUUAAACGUAAAUGUGUUCUGUAUCCAGAGUCAGAGGGAAAUAGCCUCAUAGCUAUUCCAAUAGCUCAUAUGCAGUAGCAUAGCAAGUUUAUGACUUCUUACGAUUCAUGAGUUGUUUUUUUUUAAUCAUUUAUAUUCUAAUUGAAUUUAUUGUACACAGAAUGGAAAGAGAGGUGGUGCUUUGGGCCGUUGUCCUAUUUCCAAAUGGCGGAACUGCAACAGUUCUUUCCAGCUGGUUCAAUGCAAAGGAAGGUACAUUGUUCUGGCCCCCAAAAAACAUAAAUUAUUCAAAGGCCCUUAAAGAAAACAUGAUGCCCCGUAAAGGAUGGACCACGUAUGAGAAUGUUCGGCUCUUAAAUACUUGUGACUCAUUUGAAAAGGCCAAGCAACAUGAAGAAAAGUAUGUCACUACUGGAUGUCCGACCACUGAUUUGGAAUCAGAGGUGGAAGCAGAUGUACGUCGGAAAAGAAGAACAAGAACAAAUACUGUGUAUGCGGAGUCAGAUGAGGAGCCAGAAACCAGAAGUGUUAAGAGAAAAUUUGCCAAGCCACCUGCUAUUCACUUUCCAGUGCUGCCAGUAUCCAACCAGUACCCCUCUCUACCAACCCCAGAUGCAAGCAGUGCCUCUGGAGGAAACUAUUCUGAGGAUGUUCAGUCAUUUGACCAGCCUAAUAAUGACUUUAGUGGAAACUUCUUGGCAGAGCUAGAGUCAACAGAUCUCUGUAAUGAUGACUUUCCUGGCAAUCACCAUCACCACCCCCAGGGCUAUACAGCUCCAGAAACACCACGGGGAAGAUUCACUGCAAGGGAACCCAGCCAAAUGUUGCAAGACAUUGCUGCCAACCAAAAUACCAAGAUGCUAACGGAGAUACUCAUGGAGGUGAAGCAAAUGUCACGGGACAUUCAGUUCAUCAAGACUGAAAUUGCCAAAUCCGCCAUGAAUAUUCCCGGAGCGGGAUCACAGAGAGAGGAGCCCUUCCCCAUUGUUCUGCCACUCGCCAAUGAGGAGCAGUUUGAUGAGGCUGAAGCUGCACUGAGGGAGGAAUCAGUCCGUCGAAAGAUGAUUACCCGCUUGGCAUUAGUCGGAGGGACCAAUGCCGAAAAUAUGAUCCGGCGAAUGCUAUCCGCUACCAUGGCAAUCAGUGUAGCAUGUAUUUUCAACUGGGCGGGAAAUGGACCGAAGAGGGCCUUCAAGGACACGUUAAUGUAGGACUGCAUGUUUGCGGCUGCUCGUCAAUUUGACCGCAAGUUGACCGAAUUGCAGUACAGGGAUGCCCUGCAGAAGUGGCUGCGUUACGCACCGGAGAGGAGUGGCGGGGUACCAAGAAAAGCCAAAGAUUAAGGACUAUUAAGGACAAAUGUUACUGUAAUGUUCUAAUUAUAGGGUUACUUAUAGGGUUAAUGUUCAUAAUUCCUUAAAAUGUUAAGAUGUUUGUUUAUAAUUGCUUUUGAAUAUUUAUUAAAUAACUUUGAAU